GAUGAACGCUGGCGGCGUGCCUAAUACAUGCAAGUCGAGCGAACAGACGAGGAGCUUGCUCCUCUGACGUUAGCGGCGGACGGGUGAGUAACACGUGGAUAACCUACCUAUAAGACUUGGAUAACUUCGGGAAACCGGAGCUAAUACCGGAUAAUAUAUUGAACCGCAUGGUUCAAUAGUGAAAGACGGUUUUUCUGUCACUUAUAGAUGGAUCCGCGCCGCAUUAGCUAGUUGGUAAGGUAACGGCUUACCAAGGCAACGAUGCGUAACCGACCUGAGAGGGUGGGACGACAACACGGGAAGUGAAAACGGUCAAGGACACCACGGGGGGGAGGAGGGGGGAAUGCUCCCGAAAUGGGGAAAGGCCGGAGGAAGCACGGCGGGGGAAGGAAGAAGGGUUUACGAACCGAAAACUUUUUUUAUUGGGAAAGAAAAAAUGGUAAAGUAACAAUGCACGUCUGGACGGUACCUAAUAAGAAAGCCCCGGCUAACUCCGUC
rnacentral:rRNA from 1 species